CCUACGGGUAGCAGCAGUGGGGAAUAUUGGACAAUGGGCGAAAGCCUGAUCCAGCCAUGCCGCGUGUGUGAAGAAGGCCUUCGGGUUGUAAAGCACUUUCAGUGGGGAAGAAAGCCUUGGGGCUAAUACCCUCGAGGAAGGACAUCACCCACAGAAGAAGCACCGGCUAACUCCGUGCCAGCAGCCGCGGUGAAUACGGAGGGUGCGAGCGUUAAUCGGAAUUACUGGGCGUAAAGCGCGCGUAGGCGGUCUGAUAAGCCGGUUGUGAAAGCCCCGGGCUCAACCUGGGAACGGCAUCCGGAACUGUCAGGCUAGAGUGCAGGAGAGGAAGGUAGAAUUCCCGGUGUAGCGGUGAAAUGCGUAGAGAUCGGGAGGAAUACCAGUGGCGAAGGCGGCCUUCUGGACUGACACUGACGCUGAGGUGCGAAAGCGUGGGUAGCAAACAGGAUUAGAUACCCGGGUAGUC
rnacentral:rRNA from 1 species